rnacentral:rRNA from 1 species
AUCAUUAACUGAAUCCAUAGGUUAAUGAGGCGAACCGGGGGAACUGAAACAUCUAAGUACCCCGAGGAAAAGAAAUCAACCGAGAUUCCCCCAGUAGCGGCGAGCGAACGGGGAGGAGCCCAGAGCCUGAAUCAGCAUGUGUGUUAGUGGAAGCGUCUGGAAAGGCGCGCGAUACAGGGUGACAGCCCCGUACACAAAAGCGCAUGUGCUGUGAGCUCGAUGAGUAGGGCGGGACACGUGGUAUCCUGUCUGAAUAUGGGGGGACCAUCCUCCAAGGCUAAAUACUCCUGACUGACCGAUAGUGAACCAGUACCGUGAGGGAAAGGCGAAAAGAACCCCGGCGAGGGGAGUGAAAAAGAACCUGAAACCGUGUACGUACAAGCAGUGGGAGCACCCUUUGGGUGUGACUGCGUACCUUUUGUAUAAUGGGUCAGCGACUUAUAUUCUGUAGCAAGGUUAACCGAAUAGGGGAGCCGGAGGGAAACCGAGUCUUAAUUGGGCGUUAAGUUGCAGGGUAUAGACCCGAAACCCGGUGAUCUAGCCAUGGGCAGGUUGAAGGUUGGGUAACACUAACUGGAGGACCGAACCGACUAAUGUUGAAAAAUUAGCGGAUGACCUGUGGCUGGGGGUGAAAGGCCAAUCAAACCGGGAGAUAGCUGGUUCUCCCCGAAAGCUAUUUAGGUAGCGCCUCGUGAAUUCAUCUCCGGGGGUAGAGCACUGUUUCGGCUAGGGGGCCAUCCCGGCUUACCAACCCGAUGCAAACUGCGAAUACCGGAGAAUGUUAUCACGGGAGACACACGGCGGGUGCUAACGUCCGUCGUGAAGAGGGAAACAACCCAGACCGCCAGCUAAGGUCCCAAAGUCAUGGUUAAGUGGGAAACGAUGUGGGAAGGCCCAGACAGCCAGGAUGUUGGCUUAGAAGCAGCCAUCAUUUAAAGAAAGCGUAAUAGCUCACUGGUCGAGUCGGCCUGCGCGGAAGAUGUAACGGGGCUAAACCAUGCACCGAAGCUGCGGCAGCGACGCUUAUGCGUUGUUGGGUAGGGGAGCGUUCUGUAAGCCUGCGAAGGUGGCCUGUGAGGGUUGCUGGAGGUAUCAGAAGUGCGAAUGCUGACAUAAGUAACGAUAAAGCGGGUGAAAAGCCCGCUCGCCGGAAGACCAAGGGUUCCUGUCCAACGUUAAUCGGGGCAGGGUGAGUCGACCCCUAAGGCGAGGCCGAAAGGCGUAGUCGAUGGGAAACGGGUUAAUAUUCCCGUACUUGGUGUUACUGCGAAGGGGGGACGGAGAAGGCUAUGUUGGCCGGGCGACGGUUGUCCCGGUUUAAGCGUGUAGGCUGGUUUUCCAGGCAAAUCCGGAAAAUCAAGGCUGAGGCGUGAUGACGAGGCACUACGGUGCUGAAGCAACAAAUGCCCUGCUUCCAGGAAAAGCCUCUAAGCAUCAGGUAACAUCAAAUCGUACCCCAAACCGACACAGGUGGUCAGGUAGAGAAUACCAAGGCGCUUGAGAGAACUCGGGUGAAGGAACUAGGCAAAAUGGUGCCGUAACUUCGGGAGAAGGCACGCUGACACGUAGGUGAAGUGAUUUACUCACGGAGCUGAAGUCAGUCGAAGAUACCAGCUGGCUGCAACUGUUUAUUAAAAACACAGCACUGUGCAAACACGAAAGUGGACGUAUACGGUGUGACGCCUGCCCGGUGCCGGAAGGUUAAUUGAUGGGGUCAGCGCAAGCGAAGCUCCUGAUCGAAGCCCCGGUAAACGGCGGCCGUAACUAUAACGGUCCUAAGGUAGCGAAAUUCCUUGUCGGGUAAGUUCCGACCUGCACGAAUGGCGUAAUGAUGGCCAGGCUGUCUCCACCCGAGACUCAGUGAAAUUGAACUCGCUGUGAAGAUGCAGUGUACCCGCGGCAAGACGGAAAGACCCCGUGAACCUUUACUAUAGCUUGACACUGAACAUUGAGCCUUGAUGUGUAG